AACGCGAAGAACCUUACCUGGGCUCGAAAUGUACAGGAAUCUCCUGGAAACAGGGGCGCCCCGCAAGGGGCCUGUAUAUAGGUGCUGCAUGGCUGUCGUCAGCUCGUGUCGUGAGAUGUUGGGUUAAGUCCCGCAACGAGCGCAACCCUUAUCUCCAGUUGCUACCAUUUAGUUGAGCACUCUGGCGAAACCGCCUCGGAUAACGGGGAGGAAGGUGGGGAUGACGUCAAGUCCUCAUGGCCUUUAUGUCCAGGGCUACACACGUGCUACAAUGGCCGGUACAAACCGUCGCAAACCCGCGAGGGGGAGCUAAUCGGAAAAAGCCGGCCUCAGUUCGGAUUGGAGUCUGCAACCCGACUCCAUGAAGCUGGAAUCGCUAGUAAUCGCGGAUCAGAACGCCGCGGUGAAUACGUUCCCGGGCCUUGUACACACCGCAUAC
rnacentral:rRNA from 1 species